GGUGGUUCUUGGGUGAUGCACCCCGGAAUUGGGCUCCCUCCUCUCUGGUUCUGGGUGCGACACCUGAGAAUUGGA
rfam:Myotis davidii contig127803, whole genome shotgun sequence.